UGCUAUUGGGAUUCGACUAAGCCAUGCGAGUCGUGAGGGUUCGGCCCUCGGCAGACGGCUCAGUAACACGUAGAUAAUUUGCCCUUAGGUGGAGGAUACCCUCGGGAAACUGAGAAUAAUACUCCAUAGAUUUAGAAUGCUGGAAUGCUUUUAGAUUGAAAGAUUUAUCGCCUAAGGAUAAGUCUGCGGACUAUCAGGUCGUAGUUAGGGUAACUACCUGACUAGCCUACGACGGAUACGGGUUGUGAGAGCACUAGCCCGGAGAUGAUAUCUGAGACACGAUAUCAGGCCCUACGGGGCGCAGCAGGCGCGAAAACUUCGCACUGUGCGAAAGCACGACGAGGGAAUCCCAAGUGCUGGCUCGUAAGAGUCAGCUGUUUCUUUGUCUAAAAACAGAGAGAGUAAGGGCUGGGUAAGACGGGUGCCAGCCGCCGCGGUAAUACCUGCAGCCCAAGUGGUGGCCGCUAUUAUUGGGCCUAAAACGUCCGUAGCCGGUUCUAUAAA
rnacentral:rRNA from 1 species